ACGAACGCUGGCGGCAUGCCUCACACAUGCAAGUCGAACGAGACCUUCGGGUCUAGUGGCGCACGGGUGCGUAACGCGUGGGAACCUGCCCUUAGGUUCGGAAUAACUCCCCGAAAGGGGUGCUAAUACCGGAUAAUGUCUUCGGACCAAAGAUUUAUCGCCUUUGGAUGGGCCCGCGUUGGAUUAGCUAGUUGGUAGUGUAAAAGCCUACCAAGGCGACGAUCCAUAGCUGGUCUGAGAGGAUGAUCAGCCACACUGGGACUGAGACACGGCCCAGACUCCUACGGGAGGCAGCAGUGGGGAAUAUUGGACAAUGGGCGAAAGCCUGAUCCAGCAAUGCCGCGUGAGUGAUGAAGGCCUUAGGGUUGUAAAGCUCUUUUACCCGGGAUGAUAAUGACAGUACCGGGAGAAUAAGCUCCGGCUAACUCCGUG
rnacentral:rRNA from 1 species